UACAGAGGGUGCAAGCGUUAAUCGGAAUUACUGGGCGUAAAGCGUGCGUAGACGGCCUUCUAAGUCGAACGUGAAAUCCCUGGGCUCAACCCAGGAACUGCGUCCGAUACUGGAAGGCUUGAAUCCGGGAGAGGGAUGCGGAAUUCCAGGUGUAGCGGUGAAAUGCGUAGAUAUUGGGAGGAACACCAGUGGCGAAGGCGGUCCCCUGGGCCGGAACUGACGCUGAGGCGCGAAGGCUUGGGGAGCGAACGGG
rnacentral:rRNA from 1 species